AUACGUAGGGUGCGAGCGUUAAUCGGAAUUACUGGGCGUAAAGCGUGCGCAGGCGGUUUUGUAAGACAGUGGUGAAAUCCCCGGGCUCAACCUGGGAACUGCCAUUGUGACUGCAAGGCUGGAGUGCGGCAGAGGGGGAUGGAAUUCCGCGUGUAGCAGUGAAAUGCGUAGAUAUGCGGAGGAACACCGAUGGCGAAGGCAAUCACCUGGGCCUGCACUGACGCUCAUGCACGAAAGCGUGGGGAGCAAACAGGAUUAGAUACCCUGGUAGUCCACGCCCUAAACGAUGUCAACUGGUUGUUGGGAAUUUAUUUUCUCAGUAACGAAGCUAACGCGUGAAGUUGACCGCCUGGGGAGUACGGCCGCAAGGUUAAAACUCAAAUGAAUUGACGGG
rnacentral:rRNA from 1 species